rnacentral:rRNA from 1 species
GUGGGGAAUAUUGCACAAUGGGGGAAACCCUGAUGCAGCAACGCCGCGUGAGUGAUGACGGCCUUCGGGUUGUAAAGCUCUGUCUUCAGGGACGAUAAUGACGGUACCUGAGGAGGAAGCCACGGCUAACUACGUGCCAGCAGCCGCGGUAAUACGUAGGUGGCGAGCGUUGUCCGGAUUUACUGGGCGUAAAGGGAGCGUAGGCGGAUUUUUAAGUGAGAUGUGAAAUACUCGGGCUUAACCUGAGUGCUGCAUUUCAAACUGGAAGUCUAGAGUGCAGGAGAGGAGAAGGGAAUUCCUAGUGUAGCGGUGAAAUGCGUAGAGAUUAGGAAGAACACCAGUGGCGAAGGCGCUUCUCUGGACUGUAACUGACGCUGAGGCUCGAAAGCGUGGGGAGCAAACAGGAUUAGAAACCCUAGUAGUCC